CGGGUGAGUAAUGUCUGGGAAACUGCCUGAUGGAGGGGGAUAGCUACUGGAAACGGUAGCUAAUACCGCAUAACGUCGCAAGACCAAAGAGGGGGACCUUAGGGCCUCUUGCCAUCGGAUGUGCCCAGAUGGGAUUAGCUAGUAGGUGGGGUAAAGGCUCACCUAGGCGACGAUCCCUAGCUGGUCUGAGAGGAUGACCAGCCACACUGGAACUGAGACACGGUCCAG
rnacentral:rRNA from 1 species